CCGCCUGCCCUGUGACUUAAUGUUUAACGGCCGCGGUAUUUUGACCGUGCAAAGGUAGCGCAAUCACUUGUCUUUUAAAUAAAGACCUGUAUGAAUGGCACAACGAGGGCUUAACUGUCUCCUUUCCCCAGUCAAUGAAAUUUAUCUUCCCGUGCAGAAGCGGGAAUAAACACACAAGACGAGAAGACCCUGUGGAGCUUUAGAUAAAUGGCGGAUAAUAUAUCUUAAAUUCAAUUAUGAAGCAAACCAAAUUAGAGCCGCUAAGCAUCUUCGGUUGGGGCGACCGCGGAGUAAAACACAACUUCCGUGAGGAGUGGCUAAACCAUAGCUAGGAACUUCAAUUCUAAGAAUCAAAACAUUUGACCUUAAGAUCCAGUAUGACUGAUUAACGAACCGAGUUACCCCAGGGAUAACAGCGCAAUCUUCUCCAAGAGCCCUUAUCGACGAGAAGGUUUACGACCUCGAUGUUGGAUCAGGACAUCCUAAUGGUGCAACCGCUAUUAAGGGUUCGUUU
rnacentral:rRNA from 1 species